rnacentral:rRNA from 1 species
GACGAACGCUGGCGGCGUGCUUAACACAUGCAAGUCGAACGGAAAGGCCGCUUUGGGGGUACUCGAGUGGCGAACGGGUGAGUAACACGUGAGUAAGCUGCCCUUGACUUCGGGAGAACUUCAGGAAACUGGGGCUAAUACCGGAUAGGAAUCCUUGCUGCAUGGUGGGGGUUGGAAAGCUUCGGCGGUUUUGGAUGGACUCGCGGCUUAUCAGCUUGUUGGUGGGGUAGGGGCUUACCAAGGCUUUGACGGGUAGCUGGCCUGAGAGGGCGACCGGCCACAUUGAGACUGAGAUAGGGCCCAGACCCCUACGGGAGGGAGCAGUGGAGAAUAGUGCACAAUGGGAGGGAGCCAGAUGCAGAAGCGCCGCGUGCGGGAUGACGGUCUUCGGGUUGGAAACCUAUUUCAGCAGGAGCGAAGCUUGUGGUGACGGUACCUGCAGAAGAAGCACCGGCUAACUUCGUG